UACGAAGGGGGCUAGCGUUGUUCGGAUUUACUGGGCGUAAAGCGCACGUAGGCGGAUCUUUAAGUCGGGGGUGAAAGCCUGUGGCUCAACCACAGAAUGGCCUCGAUACUGGGACGCUUGAGUAUGGUAGAGGUUGGUGGAACUGCGAGUGUAGAGGUGAAAUUCGUAGAUAUUCGCAAGAACACCAGUGGCGAAGGCGGCUCACUGGCCCGAUACUGACGCUGAGGCACGAAAGCGUGGGGAGCAAACAGG
rnacentral:rRNA from 1 species